rnacentral:rRNA from 1 species
UCGAAUGGUACAGGAAACAGCUUGCUGUUCGCUGACAUGGCGGACGGGUGAGUAAUGUCUGGGAAACUGCCUGAUGGAGGGGGAUAACUACUGGAAACGGUAGCUAAUACCGCAUAACGUCGCAAGACCAAAGAGGGGGACCUUCGGGCCUCUUGCCAUCAGAUGUGCCCAGAUGGGAUUAGCUAGUAGGUGGGGUAACGGCUCACCUAGGCGACGAUCCCUAGCUGGUCUGAGAGGAUGACCAGCCACACUGGAACUGAGACACGGUCCAGACUCCUACGGGAGGCAGCAGUGGGGAAUAUUGCACAAUGGGCGCAAGCCUGAUGCAGCCAUGCCGCGUGUAUGAAGAAGGCCUUCGGGUUGUAAAGUACUUUCAGCGGGGAGGAAGGGAGUAAAGUUAAUACCUUUGCUCAUUGACGUUACCCGCAGAAGAAGCACCGGCUAACUCCGUGCCAGCAGCCGCGGUAAUACGGAGGGUGCAAGCGUUAAUCGGAAUUACUGGGCGUAAAGCGCACGCAGGCGGUUUGUUAAGUCAGAUGUGAAAUCCCCGGGCUCAACCUGGGAACUGCAUCUGAUACUGGCAAGCUUGAGUCUCGUAGAGGGGGGUAGAAUUCCAGGUGUAGCGGUGAAAUGCGUAGAGAUCUGGAGGAAUACCGGUGGCGAAGGCGGCCCCCUGGACGAAGACUGACGCUCAGGUGCGAAAGCGUGGGGAGCAAA